rnacentral:rRNA from 1 species
GGCUCAGAACGAACGCUGGUGGCGUGCUAUACAUGCAAGUCGAGCGAGGCAGCAAUGCCUAGCGGCGAACGGGUGAGUAACGCGUAAGCAAUCUGCCCCAUAUCAGGGAAAUACCCGUGCCAACGCGCGGUUAAUGUCCAGGAGCGUGGCCUUCCGCAUGGGAGGUUGACAAGAGAUUUAUCGGUAUGGGAUGAGCUUGCGUCCGAUUAGCUAGUUGGCGGGGCAACGGCCCACCAAGGCGACGAUCGGUAGCCGGCCUGAGAGGGUGAUCGGCCACAUUGGGACUGAGAUACGGCCCAGACUCCUACGGGAGGCAGCAGUAGGGAAUAUUGCACAAUGGGGGAAACCCUGAUGCAGCAACGCCAACCGUGUGGGAAGAAGCAUUUCGGUGUGUAAACCACUGUCGUGAGGGAAUAAGGCGUCUUCUCGGAGACGUUGAAUGUACCUCGAAAGGAAGCACCGGCAAACUUCGUGCCAGCCGCCGC